GAGCCUUGAUGUGUAGGAUAGGUGGGAGGCUUUGAAGCGUGGACGCCAGUCUGCGUGGAGCCAACCUUGAAAUACCACCCUUUAAUGUUUGAUGUUCUAACGUUGGCCCCUUACCGGGGUUGCGGACAGUGUCUGGUGGGUAGUUUGACUGGGGCGGUCUCCUCCCAAAGCGUAACGGAGGAGCACGAAGGUUAGCUAAUCCUGGUCGGACAUCAGGAGGUUAGUGCAAUGGCAUAAGCUAGCUUGACUGCGAGCGUGACGGCGCGAGCAGGUGCGAAAGCAGGUCAUAGUGAUCCGGUGGUUCUGAAUGGAAGGG
rnacentral:rRNA from 1 species